GUGUUCCUACGGGGGGCAGCAGUAGGGAAUCUUCCACAAUGGACGAAAGUCUGAUGGAGCAACGCCGCGUGAGUGAAGAAGGGUUUCGGCUCGUAAAGCUCUGGUGGUAGUGAAGAAAGAUAGAGGUAGUAACUGGCCUUUAUUUGACGGGAAUUACUUAGAAAGUCACGGCUAACUACGUGCCAGCAGCCGCGGUAAUACGUAGGUGGCAAGCGUUGUUCGGAUUUAUUGGGCGUAAAG
rnacentral:rRNA from 1 species